ACAGUGAGAUUAAUCAAGAUGAUGAUAUUAGUGAUUCCACUGCUGACUACACUGCUGUUUGGACUUCAAGGUUCAGCAGCCAGUCCAUCUGUGACUCAGUCUCCUGUAUCAAAGUCUGCUAGUCUGGAAGAGACAGUCUCUCUGAGCUGCAUAGCCAGUACAGGAGUUGAUGAUGAUCUCAGUUGGUACCUGCAGAGACCCGGACAGCCUCUCAAAUUGCUGUUUUACAAAAUAAGUCGCCGUGAAUCUGAUACUCCAAGUCGUUUCAGCAGCAGUGGAUCUGAACCUGAAUUCACUCUGACAAUCAGUGGAGUUCAGGCAGAAGAUGCAGGAGAUUAUUACUGUAUGGGUGUACACAGUGGCCCAGUGUUCACACAGUGAUUUGUAGUCGUACAAAAACCUCCCUCAGUCAGACUGCAGAGACACUGAGCUGUUACAGCGGGAACCGACUGCAGCUGCUGAAGAGGAAGAGACUCUGACACAGACCACUGAACACA